AUGAGAGUGCUGGGAUUUUUGUGCCUGGUGACAGUCCUUCCUGGUAGCCUGUCUCAGAUGCAGCUUCAGGAGUCAGGACCUGGCCUGGUGAAACCCUCACAGUCACUCUUCCUCACCUGCUCUAUCACUGGUUUCCCCAUCACCAGUGGUUACUACUGGAUCUGGAUCCGUCAGUCACCUGGGAAAACCCUAGAAUGGAUGGGGUACAUCACUCAUAGUGGGGAAACUUUCUACAACCCAUCCCUCCAGAGCCCCAUCUCCAUUACUAGAGAAACAUCCAAGAACCAGUUCUUCCUGCAAUUGAACUCUGUGACCACAGAGGACACAGCCAUGUAUUACUGUGCAGGAGACAGACACAAUGAGAAGAUUACAAUGUCAACCCACACACAAACCUCACUGUAG